UUCAACCUUUCGCGGUGAUUAGAGGCUAGGGAAUGUGUGCGUCGGGGGACGUACCCGGACACCUGAAGACUAGAGUGAAGUCAGAGUCAUCUUCACCUUGUUUUUGGUGUUUGUGGGGAUAUUUUGAGCAGACCCUCACAGGUGUGCCCUCCACACAAUUGUUUCCUCACAACUUUGAAAAAAAAUGGAUAUCGUUUAACCCAUUACCUACCAUAAUUCUAUUAACUGGAAUGAUCAAAAUAACAUUUUAAUUAGAAAUAAGCGAGAUAUUGUGUGAAAAAUUAGCAAACCUCAUUUGAAUAUCAGAGAAAUAUACCUAGUAGAUAUAGCAAAAAGUUUAGAUAUGUGUAAAUAUUGGCAGAUAAUUACGAAAUUUGUAAUAUUUUAGUGAUCUCAUAUGAGAUCACUGGUAGGUAAUAUUCUACAAAUAUCUCUCCGUUAGCAUACAUUACGACUAUAUCGGAAUUUAAUGCGAAAAAAAUACAGGUCGCGCACACAUAUGUACUGACAUAGAUCCCAAUUUAUUUUCAAAAUUUCAAGUUCCAUUUUGUGGAUAUAUAUUCUUUGUGUGUCAGUAUAUAUGGAAUUUGAAAUCAGAUUGCAAACGUGGACGAAAUGCCGCCGGCGUGCUAACCAAUCUGCCGCUCACCGUCUUAUUAACAUGAAUAAUGGUUACUCAACAUAGUCCACAGGUAGAUGUAGAGAUUAGGGUUAUAAAUCGACAUAUUAUACUUUUUUGGAAUGAGAAUGAUCCCGGAAUUGAAAAUCUGCCUGUCAGUCGGUUUUUGAACAUCUAGUAUUGAGAUCUGAUUCGAAAGCAUUUGAGUUGUAACUUCUACCAGUUCGUUUGGGAGCGCUACUGGUACCUUGUAAACUGAUGCAGGAUCUGUUUGUCGGCGACUAGACUGGCGACCCUACCAUGUUUGCUUGGUAUGGAAAGUGAUUUAGGACAGACCACAGCAUAAGCAACAAUGUUUGUCAAAAACUAGCAAAA